rnacentral:rRNA from 1 species
CCUACGGGCGGCAGCAGUGAGGAAUAUUGGUCAAUGGGCGCGAGCCUGAACCAGCCAAGUAGCGUGAAGGAUGACUGCCCUACGGGUUGUAAACUUCUUUUAUCAAGGAAUAAAGUGCGGGACGUGUGCCUUUUUGUAUGUACUUUCUGAAUAAGGAUCGGCUAACUCCGUGCCAGCAGCCGCGGUAAUACGGAGGAUCCGAGCGUUAUCCGGAUUUAUUGGGUUUAAAGGGAGCGGAGAUGGGUUGUUAAGUCAGUUGUGAAAGUUUGCGGCGCAACCGUAUAAUUGCAAUUGAUACUGGCAGUCUUGAGUACAGUUGAGGUAGGCGGAAUGCGUGGUGUAGCGGUGAAAUGCUUAGAUAUCACGAAGAACUCCGAUUGCGAAGGCAGCGUACUAAACUGCCACUGACAUUGAUGCUCGAAAGUGUGGGUAUCAAACAGGAUUAGAUACCCCUGUAGUC